GGGCCACCGUGUCCGGCCUAUUUCUUUCUUAAUAUUUGCUAAUUAAAAGUUUAAAAGGCAACUAGCUCAUCAGCAGCCAUAAACUCACAGAUGAGAGAUUAUGUAUUACAACGUACGUAUGAAGCAAGUGGUGAGUGUGACGUAGUCAGGGUAGAGCUCUGGACUGAGCGGGGAGACCCUUACUGUGAGCGGGUGCCUGAGUGCACUUAAAGAUGAGGAGCUGAGGGAGCCCAGGGGAGGAAAGGGUGGCCAGAGCAGGCACUCCUCUUGCUCUUCUGCCAGGCAGAGAGGGGCAGGAGAGGCAGGUGGCGAGCCUGGGCUCAGUCACUUCAGGGUUGAAAACCUGGUUUCCUGAGAGGGCCCUUUCCAGCUCUGACACGCCAGGGUCUAUGAGUAAGUGGCCAAAUCAUUUAUCACCAAACUGGUAGACUUUUGAGACGGUAAGAGGGUGAUAUUAAAAAGAAAGCUAGGCAACAAGCACAGACCCGGACUGUCCUGUAUGGUCACCCUAUGGCUGAGGCCACUGUGGCGAGAGGGUACUGCGUAACGCUCCAGAAUCUUGAUGGCAGAUGGACGGGUGCUGCCUGACUUCCACGGACCCAGGUAAGAGAAAUACUGUACCUUGCUCAGCCUUAUGUAUUUAAUAAUUAUCCUCUUAGACAGUCCUUCACGUAUUCAUUCAACUCUCCUUUACUGCGAGCCUGUUAGGAAUAAAGCUAACAGGAACACAUGGUAUCGGAAGGGCUGAACGAGGGGAAGACUCUCCCCAGGUUAGCACGAUGCAUGUGGACAUGUGCAGCCUGGAUCCCCUCCAAAGGACUUGUGGCAACUCCUGUGGAUACGUGGGCAGUCAGCCUCACCUAAGGUCACACCCUUCCCAGGCCACCCACACUGCGUGACUGGCCAGGCAAGACUCGAGCAGCCAGGCCAUCUUGGCGCAAGGUGGGGCCAUCCUGACACACGUCAGCCCCAGAGCGCCUGGCUUUGUUAGCCUGCGACUUCACUUCCUCCGUCUGAUCCUGUUCUUGUCCUCCCUUCCAGCUUUUGAUCCCAAAGGCUCUUCCUAAUGAACCUGCUGCACGCUAAACACAGUCUCAGAGUCCGCUUCCCAGCGAACUCAACUUCUGACAAUUGUUCUAUCUUGACAGGGAGAGAGGAGAGACCAGAGUGUCAAGGCAGGGAGGGGUGGAGGAUUCACUAUUAUAACAUUUAUAUUUACAAAGUGAGAAAGGACUAUGGCACCUGAAAUAUAAUUUGCCCGGUCUGCAAAAGCCCAGAAUAGCCAGCGGCCAGAAGGGCUCAGGUUCAAAACAGCCCAGUAGAAAGGCCUAUCCUACCCCAGCAACUGUGUGACCUUGAGCCAGAUGCCUAAUCUCUCUGACCUUCAGUUUCCCCAUCUGUGAAAUGAGAAGAUAAUAUUUAAUAUUAACUAAUUCAUAUUUUAAGGAAUUAGUUAGAAAAAAAAGCCCCUUCAUACAUUCCAACAUGCUAUAUAAACAUUAAUUACUACUUUCUACUGCUUUUUGAUUCUGAAGAGUAACAAAUAAUGAUUAACUACUGACAACUCAAUUUGAAUUUCAAGAGAAAGCGAUCCCAGCCAGCCCUGGUAGCCAGUAAUUACUAUCUCUGCUCUUUUUCUUUUUUUUGCUGUUUUUCUCAACUCAAUGACAUGGAGCUGAGAUCCGUGUUUUACAAGUACAUUGUAUAUACUGGAGAGGUUUAUGGCUCAUCCUCUUAAUUUAAAGAACAGUCUCAGAAGUCCCUGUCAAGCGGCAAUGUGUACUGCUCAUACUGUAUUGGGAUCUGAAUAAUGAGAUGGAAGAAUCUGCCCUUGAAAACACCCUUUGUGAACAGUCCCAGCUGGCAUUGAUGAGCCUUUCAUUUAUUCAUCUGGAGGAGGAGAGACUGGGACCUGCUUUGACCUCAGGGUUGGAUGAACCUUCAAAGACAAAGAACAGUGUGGUGCCUUCAGGAAAGAUGACAUCAGAGGGACAGUGGGGAGGAAUUCUGUGGCCUGUCUCUAGGCUGGAGGCAAGCUGGAGUCAUCAGGGCUAGAGAAACAAGGAGCCAGAGAAAGAGAGACUGUGUCCUGUUUGGCCUGGGUGGUUUUUGAUAGUAGUUCAUAAUUAUUCUAGCUCGCAUUUACUGGGCACUCGCUGUGGGCUAGCCACCAUGUACGUUACCUCAUUUUAAGUUGCUCAGCAUCCUUGUAUAAGGUAGGUACUGUUGUUAUCUCCCCUUACAGAGGAGGAACCCGAGGCAAAGAGAGGUCAAGCAACUUGCCUUAAGUCACACAGCUAGUAAGUGACAGAACCAGGAUUUGUAAUACAAACCGCAAGCAUUUGUAUUACAUAGCCAGCACUUAGCCACUGUACUGGUCCUUGUUUGCCCUUCCAGAUCCACGUGUGGCCCCCCAGAAGAAGACCCCUGCAAACUCCAGUACUGGCUGGCAUCCAGCUGGGAUCACCAGUGAGGGGCUGGAGCCCACAGGGAGCGGGCAAAGGACAGGUCAAGGCAUUUGACUCCAAGCUCCAGGGCCCCGAGAACCUUCCCACCCCUUCCUACUGGAGGUCUCCGGGCUCCUCGGUGUCCCUGUCUGCCCCUGUCCACAUGGCUAUACAAAGCCAUUCUUUUCCAUCUCUUCAUGUGAGCCAUGCAGGGUGAAUUCCUGCUACUGACACUGGCUCCACGUUGUAUCACACAGGUUACAACAGCAGGGUGGCAGCUGCCGACUCGUACAAAUCAAAUGAAGCUCCUGCCUGCUUGAAUAUUACUUUAUCAUGCAAAAACAGCGGGAUGAAAUAAAUGUAAGGUUUAGAUCCUGUUUGGAUCCUGAUUCAAAAUCAACCGUGAAAAACUAUUCAUGGGGAAAUUUGAACACUCCCUGGACAUGAGACAUUAAAGAAUUCUUGUUAAUCUCUUU